ensembl:miRNA Gm24112 predicted gene, 24112
CACAUGCCAUGGUGUGUAGACCCAUAUGCCAUGGUGUGUAGACCCAUAUGCCACGGUGUGUAGACCCACAUGCCACGGUGUGU